GCUGGGCAUGGUGGCGCAUGCCUGUAGUCCCAGCUACUUGGGAGGCUGAGGCAGAAGAAUUGCUUGAACCCAGGAGGUGGAGGUUGCAGUGUGCCGAGAUUGGGCCACUGCCCUCCAGCCUGGGUAACAGACCGAGACUCCAUCUCAA
ensembl:misc_RNA Metazoa_SRP Metazoan signal recognition particle RNA